AGCAGAUCUCAAGAACAGCGCAGCCCACGACCAUGCGCCGUGCCCUCGCCAAUAGGAGUGGUUGUUGGCCGGCGGGAGAGCACAGCACGCUGCUCACCCCACUCUGCUUCUUCCUCAUCUCCUUGCUCAACGGGAGGAAAACAAGCAGCCGCCAAACCCUACCAGAGUGAGACGAGUGAGGGAGAUGGAAAAGGGAAAAACAAAGGGUCAGGGAGAUGGAAGAGGAUGCAAGAAAGAACUCAGAUCUACUCCAACAAGAGAAGCAUGGCCACUGCACCUUGUGAGUUCUUGUUCGGGUGAUUGGCUGCUGAUAGUGAGGGAGAUUGGAAGGGGAAGAAGAAUUGAGUAUGUUACAAGGCCUUCUAAUUUCCAGAAAUUCUAUCCGUUUGCAUUCCGUUAUUUACCC